AGACGAACCAUGCGAACGUUAUUCGGAAUGACUGGGCUUAAAGCGUGCGUAGGCGGUCUCGAAAGUUGGGUGUGAAAUCCCCCGGCUCAACCGGGGAAUUGCGCCCAAAACUGCGGGACUCGAGGGAGAUAGAGGUGGGCGGAACUUCGGGUGGAGCGGUGAAAUGCGUUGAUAUCCGAAGGAACACCAGAGGCGAAAGCGGCCCACUGGAUCUUUUCUGACGCUGAGGCACGAAAGCUAGGGGAGCGAACGGGAUUAGAUACCCCGGUAGUCCUAGCCGUAAACGAUGAGCACUGGAUUGGAGGGUCUCCCAUAGCCUUCCGGUCGUAGCGAAAGUGUUAAGUGCUCCGCCUGGGGAUUAUGGUCGCAAGGCUGAA
rnacentral:rRNA from 1 species